rnacentral:rRNA from 1 species
AGCGAACGCUGGCGGCAGGCUUAACACAUGCAAGUCGAGCGGGCACUUUCGGGUGUCAGCGGCGGACGGGUGAGUAACGCGUGGGAACGUGCCCUCUGGUUCGGAAUAACUCAGGGAAACUUGAGCUAAUACCGGAUACGCCCUUUUGGGGAAAGGCUUGCUGCCGGAGGAUCGGCCCGCGUCUGAUUAGCUAGUUGGUGAGGUAACGGCUCACCAAGGCGACGAUCAGUAGCUGGUCUGAGAGGAUGAUCAGCCACACUGGGACUGAGACACGGCCCAGACUCCUACGGGAGGCAGCAGUGGGGAAUAUUGGACAAUGGGCGCAAGCCUGAUCCAGCCAUGCCGCGUGAGUGAUGAAGGCCUUAGGGUUGUAAAGCUCUUUUAUCCGGGACGAUAAUGACGAUACCGGAGGAAUAAGCCCCGGCUAACUUCGUG